UUAAGGUUAUCAAUCUCAGCUGGGCUUCUCCUACUAUGACAAGUUAACAUGUCUGCUGAGAGAAAGCUCCAUGUGGUUUGUCUUUUCUCUCUUUAGUUCUUCUUGUCUUUAAGCUUUCUGAGUGUUAUUUAUGUAUUAUCUGCUUGAGCUUUUCCAACUCUACAGACACAGAUAUGGAGAUAAUAACCGUCCAAAAGGAUGUGCAACUCCAGCUGCAGGGAGGAGCCUGACGAUGGUACCAGACGACCGAGUGACACGGCAAGCUGCCGAGAAAGGAAGUUGGUGAGGAAGAAGAAGAGGAUGAGGCGGAAAGAGCGGGAACGGGAGAAAAAGAAAGUCCUAAAUCAGUCUUUCUCAGAAAGGCUCAUUUAGCCAUUCCACUCCAACUUGUUGCAGAAUGACACCUGCGUGAAAUCCGAGAGCUGCGCUGACAGCAUCAUUCCAAACCGAGAGCAGCCGGGUCUAAAUAUAGGCCCGGAGCUCAGACACAGCGUUUGAAAAAGCUCGACUGUGCAAGGCUGGAGCUGUGCAAAUCAGGAAUGUUUGUUGAAAUAAAUAAACUUCCCCACAUUUGAGGAGAGGAACUCACAAUCACAAGCAU